UACGGAGGGUGCAAGCGUUGUUCGGAUUCAUUGGGCGUAAAGGGUGCGUAGGUGGUGGGGUAAGUCGGAUGUGAAAUCCCGGGGCUCAACCCCGGAACUGCAUUCGAAACUGCCUUGCUCGAGUACUGGAGAGGAGACUGGAAUUUACGGUGUAGCAGUGAAAUGCGUAGAUAUCGUAAGGAAGACCAGUGGCGAAGGCGAGUCUCUGGACAGUUACUGACACUGAGGCACGAAGGCCAGGGGAGCAAACGGG
rnacentral:rRNA from 1 species